rnacentral:rRNA from 1 species
UACAGAGGGUGCGAGCGUUAAUCGGAAUUACUGGGCGUAAAGCGCGCGUAGGCGGCUUUGCAAGUCGGGUGUGAAAUCCCCAGGCUUAACCUGGGAACUGCAUUCGAGACUGCAUUGCUAGAGUGUGGGAGAGGGAAGUGGAAUUUCCGGUGUAGCGGUGAAAUGCGUAGAUAUCGGAAGGAACAUCAGUGGCGAAAGCGGGUUGCUGGGCCGACACUGACGCUGAUGCGCGAAAGCCAGGGGAGCGAACGGG